CCUAAUGCUGCAUAUGCCUGUCUCUG
rnacentral:piRNA from 1 species